rnacentral:rRNA from 1 species
AUGGGAAUUCAUUAUCCUUAUGGACAUCCCAGGGUCCCUGCCCAGAAUUCAUUAUCCUCGCGCCCCGGAGAAACCAGCCAAUCGCCGAGCCCGUUCACUCAGUCGCUGCGCCCGACGUGCGCCGGCCGCCGCCGCGCCCGGCAGUCGAUCCGCGCCCCACGCACACAUCCAGAGCCUCUGCGCGCACGUACGCCGUCCACACCCGUCGUCCACGCCCAGGCCAUGCCGGGAGCUCGGUCCGAGGCCGCCGCCUCGGAGCCCCAUCCACCACACCGAGCCACCAGCACAACCGCCAGCACCACCACAGUGCUCAGCAGCCGCCGAGGACCGGCGCCACCACGCCUGCCGGCAGCCAUGGCCGAGACCCUACCGGCCAGAACCAGAUCCAGAUCGGACUGGACCGGAACAGGGCAGGGACCCUGGGCCGCCGCUACCGCAGGUCACACCACCGGACGAAGCACGCCCCACCACCGCAGCCAACGCACCGAACCGCCGCCGGAGGUUCACCGCACCAAGCCGCCAAGAGCCCCGUCGGUGGAGCUCCACGCCGCCGCUAGAGGGGAGGGGGACGCGCCCGGGAGAGACCCCGCCGCCACCGGCACUGCACGGGCUUCGCCCGACAGCGCCCACGGUGGCGGCGAGGGGAAGGGGAGGGAGGGGGGUGGCCGGCGGCGGGGUCUGGGGUUCCCUCCGUGCCGCCUCGGAGAGGGACGCGGGGGUCGGGAUGUGUGUCACUGUCACCACAGUUACAUGUGCAUAAUUACCAUGGUCUAUUUUGUUCACAUGAUAUUCAUUGAUCCUACAAUUUUCCUUGCUUCUAUAGGUUAA